GUUGAAUCAAUACAUCUCUUUGGGGAACUUUCAGCACCUCUACGCAGAAUGUGGAGACACGGAACACCAGUGAUGCACACUGCACAGCACUGACACAGGAAGCACCUCUAGUGGCCGUCUGAGUGACUGUAGAGAUAGCUUUUACAUUGUACAUUUUCCCCUCUGCAUGGCUUUGAAAUAGAAUGGGGGUGAAGUCAAUUCAGCAGCUCUGCUCACA